rnacentral:rRNA from 1 species
UACGUAGGGUGCAAGCGUUGUCCGGAAUUAUUGGGCGUAAAGAGCUCGUAGGCGGUUUGUCGCGUCUGGUGUGAAAACUCAAGGCUCAACCUCGAGCUUGCAUCGGGUGCGGGCAGACUAGAGUGUGGUAGGGGUGACUGGAAUUCCUGGUGUAGCGGUGGAAUGCGCAGAUAUCAGGAGGAACACCGAUGGCGAAGGCAGGUCACUGGGCCACUACUGACGCUGAGGAGCGAAAGCAUGGGGAGCGAACAGG